UACAGAGGGUGCAAGCGUUAAUCGGAAUUACUGGGCGUAAAGCGCGCGUAGGUGGUUUGUUAAGUUGGAUGUGAAAUCCCCGGGCUCAACCUGGGAACUGUAUCCAAAACUGGCAAGCUAGAGUAUGGUAGAGGGUGGUGGAAUUUCCUGUGUAGCGGUGAAAUGCGUAGAUAUAGGAAGGAACACCAGUGGCGAAGGCGACCACCUGGACUGAUACUGACACUGAGGUGCGAAAGCGUGGGGAGCAAACAGG
rnacentral:rRNA from 1 species